CUACCUCUGUCAUCCUUCAUCCACCCGCAUCGUCAACGCCUCUCUAUCCUCUCCCAGUCUCCCUCCCUCUACACACCACAGAUCCGUUCCUCGCUGCCACCGCUUGAAUUCCGGACACAUGCCCCGCGCAUGGAGGCGGCCAUGUCGAGACCCUUCACCUGGCUGCGACGUCCUCCACGAGAUUCGUGAACACCGCAGCGUCUCCUCGCACCGAUUACUCCUACGUGGGUUUCGUGGCCGCCGCCUCCAUGCGCCUCAAGCUCUGCGACGAGACCGGAUCCAGGGUCGUGAGCGACCACGAUGCUGCGUUCGUCGCCGACCACGAUGUUGCGGACCCGGUGGCUAUGCUGGAGUACAGGGAGCACCUGCUGUGGGAGGCGUGGAUCCAGAGGCGUGGAUCCAGAUCGAGAUGGCCACCGUGUUGAGGGCAUCGCUCGCGGCGCAUCCCAGGUUCGUCGACCAGUACCUCGAGUCAACUAGCAGCGUCAGCUGGGGCAAGGACCACCUCCCGCCCGACCUGCGUGCGGAGCAGGAGAUUAGCCAAUUGUAGUUUGAAUCGGACCAGGUUGCCGUCAUCGGUGUGGCUGCAGAGUGGAGGAUCUAAACCAUGAUGGACUGGUGCCACAGCGGUUGACCUCCUUGACAGCUGUUCGAGUUCUUGGGCGUCACUACUUGCCAUAAUACGCGGGAAAGUAACCCAUUUCCUAUAAUUUUCUGCUGUAUUCUCAAGUCCUUUGUACACAUGUUUCUACAUGAUACCUAUGGCCAACCGAAUCAGUUUUUUGUUUCUGACGUAGAUGCUUUUGAUCUAAUAUCUUGUUUCUUCUAAUUUGUUACACACCAUAGGUAUGAGGACUAAAUUCUAAAUUCCAUGCACCAAUUUUUCUAAUUUUGUCAAAAUCAUGUAUGAUAGAGUUUAUAAUCUUUUCUUGGUUAGAUCUGGUAGUUCCGUAUUAUUCACACUUCUCAAUUUCCAGCAAAUAUCUGAGGCUAACUUUUUUUCCCCUCUUACUGCAGGUUAGUUCGAACAAUGGGUUACACUGUUGUUUUUUCUGAUAGUGCUCCUACAUGGAUACUUCAAGAUUGCUGCAAUUCUCAGAAACACUGGAGAAGGGCCUAGAGAAAAUGAUGGACUUAAAAAAUAGAUUUGGUGGCAUGAUAACUCAGAACAUAAGGAGUUGAUGGGCAUGGUGUGAUCAGCGACACAAAGAGGAAUAUGCAUGCCAAUGCUUCCCUUGGUGGAUCAAGAUAAUGCAAGUGGUUGAGUAUCGCCGCGGCGCCGAAGAUGGAGGUAGACUUGAGAGAUAGAAGAAUGUGUUAAAGGUGGUAUAAACAUUUUCAAAGUUUCCCUUGAGAUCAAAAAAUGUACAUGGCGAAGCGAUCGGGGUCAAAAGCCAUGGCCUCUCCCUGGUUGCUGCCGUCACAUCUGUCUGUCUUCAAACCCAAUACAUCCAUGCAAGUAUUAGUUAACAACAUAUGUUCGCACGGGUGCAGCGAGAGCGGAGGUCGAGCCAUGGACGCGGUGGUGGAGAUCUUGGCGAGAUUGCACCUCUCGCCCUGGCCGCCUUCGUCGACUUGCCGUGGUCCAGCGCCGCCACAAGGUGCUCCUCCCUUACGGGGUUGUCAUGAUCCAUUAUAUGCAACUGUGGAGUGGCCCAGGUGGAGUGGAUUUGGAUUCUACAUUAGUGGUACUAGGGAUCUGAGGAUUGAAGAAGAUGAAUCUUCUUGAGAUUGAAGUAUAUCACCUUUUCUAGAUAUAUCUAUAUUAGCAUCAAGUAAUAUGAAUUAGAGGGAAUAUCAAUUUAGUGCAAAUUCAUGCUUAAUGGAGAAUUUUAUUUCAGUGAAGUUAUUCAUGCUUAAUCAGUUUCAUACUUGAGAGGAGAUGCUCUCAAGUAUAUAUAUAUAUUUAUAUAUAUUUAUUGGAGACUCAAA